rnacentral:snoRNA from 1 species
UCUUUCAUGAUGAAGCAUUUUACGGAUGUUAACCCUACGGGGACUGUCCGAGAGCGCAAAACAAGUGUGGACACCUCCGUUGCCUUCCUUCUGAACUACAAC